UGGUAACCGGUUUUUCCACAGCUUUUGCUGCAUGGCUCCCAUUCUCCGGUGACCCACCUAACGAGGCCAGAAACAAAAAAGGCCCUGGAUGCCAAGAGCAGUGGUGGGGAGUCAGAACAAGAAAAAGUCAAGUCCCACUGGGAGAAAUCCACCGAUACAGACAAGGGGUUACGUGAUUCACCCAGGGACCCAGGGUCACACAGCUAGUGGAGUCCUGGAGAGGCUAUGAUCUUGGGAGUUCUGACAGGCUGAAGCGACAAGAGCUGCAGUGACAAUUCCCUGGAGAAUGCAUCCCCUUGGGUCCUACAAUCAAUCCUCCAUCUUCUUCCAGUGAAGCUGGAGUCCUCAGGAGGAUUCUUGAGAAUCCAUCUAUCGCUCACUAGGGCUACAUCAUGCUGAUCGCCCUCAUGU